rnacentral:rRNA from 1 species
UACGGGGGGAGCAAGCGUUGUUCGGAUUUACUGGGCGUAAAGGGCGCGUAGGCGGCCACCGCAAGUCGACUGUGAAAUCUCCGGGCUUAACCCGGAAAGGUCAGCCGAUACUGCGGGGCUAGAGUGCAGAAGGGGCAACUGGAAUUCUCGGUGUAGCGGUGAAAUGCGUAGAUAUCGAGAGGAACACCUGCGGCGAAGGCGGGUUGCUGGGCUGACACUGACGCUGAGGCGCGAAAGCCAGGGGAGCGAACAGG